UGCAGCUCCACCUGUUAAUGACACAAACGGCUCUGAAGAAUCACCAGGAUUUGAAAUUAUCUGACGUUCGUCACCAGAAGCAGAUGAAGUGAAGUCAGAAAGCAGAAGUUGGUAAAUCUCUGGUUCCAUGUUUGCUACCUGAAGUGGGAGUCCUGCCUUCGCGCCGAGAAGAGUUGGGGAAAACCAGGGCCGGAAUAUUUUCUCACAGAUCACCUGAGAAAGACGAAGACAGGACAGAUGGAGGAAACGUGAUCUGCUCAGAGCAAACGUUUCAAAUAAAGAUAAACCAGAUCUGAA